GGCCUAGUGGUUAAGGCACCAGACUGGAAAGCAGGAGACCGUGAGUUCGAGUCCCUC
rnacentral:tRNA from 1 species